rnacentral:misc_RNA from 1 species
UCUCCGUUGGUGAACCAGCGGAGGGAUCAUUACCGAGUUUACAACUCCCAAACCCAAUGUGAACGUUACCAAACUGUUGCCUCGGCGGGGUCACGCCCCGGGUGCGUCGCAGCCCCGGAACCUGGCGCCCGCCGGAGGAACCAACCAAACUCUUUCUGUAGUCCCCUCGCGGACGUUAUUUCUUACAGCUCUGAGCAAAAAUUCAAAAUGAAUCAGAACUUUCAACAACGGAUCUCUUGGUUCUG